rnacentral:rRNA from 1 species
GAUGAACGCUGGCGGCGUGCCUAAUACAUGCAAGUCGAGCGAACAGACGAGGAGCUUGCUCCUCUGACGUUAGCGGCGGACGGGUGAGUAACACGUGGAUAACCUACCUAUAAGACUGGGAUAACUUCGGGAAACCGGAGCUAAUACCGGAUAAUAUAUUGAACCGCAUGGUUCAAUAGUGAAAGACGGUUUUGCUGUUACUUAUAGAUGAAUCCGCGCCGCAUUAGCUAGUUGGUAAGGUAACGGCUUACCAAGGCAACGAUGCGUAGCCGACCUGAGAGGGUGAUCGGCCACACUGGAACUGAGACACGGUCCAGACUCCUACGGGAGGCAGCAGUAGGGAAUCUUCCGCAAUGGGCGAAAGCUUGACGGAGCAACGCCGCGUGAGUGAUGAAGGUCUUCGGAUCGUAAAACUCUGUUAUUAGGGAAGAACAAAUGUGUAAGUAACUAUGCACGUCUUGACGGUACCUAAUCAGAAAGCCACGGCUAACUACGUG